rnacentral:lncRNA from 1 species
CAAUUAGAUUUAAGGCUUGUUUGAUUAAGUUUUGAAUUUUAAUUCUUAAAAAUCAUGUUGUAAAUUUAUUUACUAUUUUAAAAUCGUUUUGAAAAAUAAAAUAAAAUAUGUUUCAUAAUAUUAUUUAAAAAAAACUAUUUCAAAGAUACAAAAAAAAUAGAGUUUAAAGAAUGGUGUGGGAUGGGUUAAGAUUAAUCGGUAAAGAUUAAUAGUGUUAAUUAAAAAAAUAAAAGUUAAAAAAU